rnacentral:rRNA from 1 species
GACGAACGCUGGCGGCGUGCUUAACACAUGCAAGUCGAACGGAAAGGCCCUGCUUUUGUGGGGUGCUCGAGUGGCGAACGGGUGAGUAACACGUGAGUAACCUGCCCUUGACUUUGGGAUAACUUCAGGAAACUGGGGCUAAUACCGGAUAGGAGCUCCUGCUGCAUGGUGGGGGUUGGAAAGUUUCGGCGGUUGGGGCUGGACUCGCGGCUUAUCAGCUUGGUGGUGGGGUAGUGGCUUACCAAGGCUUUGACGGGUAGCCGGCCUGAGAGGGUGACCGGCCACAUUGGGACUGAGAUACGGCCCAGACUCCUACGGGAGGCAGCAGUGGGGAAUAUUGCACAAUGGGCGGAAGCCUGAUGCAGCAACGCCGCGUGCGGGAUGACGGCCUUCGGGUUGUAAACCGCUUUCGCCUGUGACGAAGCGUGAGUGACGGUAAUGGGUAAAGAAGCACCGGCUAACUACGUG